rnacentral:rRNA from 1 species
AGCGAACGCUGGCGGCAUGCUUAACACAUGCAAGUCGCACGGGCAGCAAUGUCUGUGGCGGACGGGUGGGUAGCCCGUCGGAACGUGUCCUGAGGUGGGAGACAACCCCGGGACACGGAGGCUAAUACCGCAUAUGGGCUGAGGCCCAAAACGGCGGGGCGCCUUUGGAUCGGCGUGCGUCCGAUUAGGUGGUUGGUGGUGUAAAGGCCUGCCAAGGCUGGGAUCGGUAGCUGGUCUGUGAGGACGACCAGCCACACUGGGACUGAGGCACGGCCUAGUCUCCUACGGGAGGCAGCAGUGGGGAAUACUGGACAAGGGGCCAUAGCGUGAUCCAGCAACGCCGCGUGGGUGAAGAAGGUCUUCGGAUCGUACAGCCCUUUCGACCGGGACGAUGAUGACGGUACCCGUAGAAGAAGCCCCGGCUAACUUCGUG